rnacentral:rRNA from 1 species
UACAGAGGGUGCAAGCGUUGUUCGGAAUUAUUGGGCGUAAAGCGUGCGUAGGUGGUUCGUUAAGUCUGAUGUGAAAGCCCACGGCUCAACCGUGGAGGGUCAUUGGAAACUGGGGAACUUGAGUGCAGGAGAGAAGAGUGGAAUUCCACGUGUAGCGGUGAAAUGCGUAGAUAUCGUAAGGAAGACCAGUGGCGAAGGCGGGUCUCUGGACAGUUCCUGACGCUGAGGCACGAAGGCCAGGGGAGCAAACGGG